AUGCUCUGGGCUCCCCUCAUUGUCCUGCUGGGGACGUGCUGCACAGGAUCUAGCUCGCAGAAUGUGCUGACUCAGCCGCCCUCAGCAUCAGUGUCCCCAGGAAACACCGUGAAACUCUCCUGCACCAUGAGCAGUGGGACCAGCAUCAGUGGCUACAAUGUGAGGUGGUUCCAACAGAAACCGGGGAAUUCCCCACGAUACCUGCUGAGAUACAAGUCAGAUUCUGACAAACACCAGGGCUCCGGGGUCCCUGCCCGGUUUUCUGGUUCCAAGGACACAUCCAGCAACACCGGCUAUUUGACCAUUUCUGGGGCCCUGGCGGAGGAUGAGGCUGACUAUUACUGUGCUGUGUGGCUCAGCAGCACCAUCCUCGGGUUGUGCAGAGCAGGGCUCAAGUGCAUCAAGGGGAUCUCAGUUCAGAAAGAGGUCCUGCAGGAGUAG